CAGCUGCGAGACUUGGUGUGAAUUGCAGGACACAUUGAGCACUGAUUUUUCGAACGCACAUUGCGGCCUCGGGUCCUACCCGGGGCCACGUCUGUCUGAGGGUCGGAUAUACGCAUGCAGAAGGAGUCCUCUCCUGUCUGGUCGCACCGGAGGGUCUCCUCUUCUCUUCGGAGAGGGAGAACCUUCGCCGACCCAAGGCUUGCGUUGCUCCGCCGGUCCUGAAGCGUCCCGCAUAGGAUGCUCGCGACUGGGGUUGGCGAUCUAUCACGUGCCACCAGAUGCGCGAGACUGCGGUCGAAGAAGACGCCGAGCCGGCGGGACGCCCCCCGCUCUGUUAUUUUUUUGACAGUGCAUCCAUCCUGUCGACCUCAGAUCAGGCGAGACGACCCGCUGAAUUUAA
rnacentral:rRNA from 1 species